rnacentral:rRNA from 1 species
AACGAACGCUGGCGGCAGGCCUAACACAUGCAAGUCGAACGCUCCAGCAAAGGAGAGCGGCAGACGGGUGAGUAACGCGUGGGAACCUACCCUUUGGUUCGGAAUAGCCCAGGGAAACUUGGGGUAAUACCGGAUAAGCCCUUCGGGGGAAAGAUUUAUCGCCAAUGGAUGGGCCCGCGUCGGAUUAGCUAGUUGGUGGGGUAACGGCCCACCACGGCGACGAUCCGUAGCUGGUCUGAGAGGAUGAUCAGCCACACUGGGGCUGGGACACGGCCCAAACUCGUACGGGAGGAAGCGGUGGGGAAUAUUGGACAAUGGGCGCAAGCCUGAUCCAGCCAUGCCGCGUGAGUGACGAAGGUCUUCGGAUUGUAAAGCUCUUUUGGCGGGGAAGAUAAUGACGGUACCCGCAGAAUAAGCCCCGGCUAACUUCGUGCCAGCCGCCGCGGUAA